rnacentral:rRNA from 1 species
AAGCUUGCUUCUGGUGGAUGAGUGGCGAACGGGUGAGUAACACGUGAGUAACCUGCCCCUGAUUUCGGGAUAAGCCUGGGAAACCGGGUCUAAUACCGGAUACGACCUACCCUCGCAUGAGGGUUGGUGGAAAGUUUUUCGAUCAGGGAUGGGCUCGCGGCCUAUCAGCUUGUUGGUGGGGUAAUGGCCCACCAAGGCGACGACGGGUAGCCGGCCUGAGAGGGCGACCGGCCACACUGGGACUGAGACACGGCCCAGACUCCUACGGGAGGCAGCAGUGGGGAAUAUUGCACAAUGGGGGAAACCCUGAUGCAGCGACGCAGCGUGCGGGAUGACGGCCUUCGGGUUGUAAACCGCUUUCAGCAGGGAAGAAGCGAAAGUGACGGUACCUGCAGAAGAAGUACCGGCUAACUACGUGCCAGCAGCCGCGGUAAUACGUAGGGUACGAGCGUUGUCCGGAAUUAUUGGGCGUAAAGAGCUCGUAGGUGGUUGGUCACGUCUGCUGUGGAAACGCAACGCUUAACGUUGCGCGUGCAGUGGGUACGGGCUGACUAGAGUGCAGUAGGGGAGUCUGGAAUUCCUGGUGUAGCGGUGAAAUGCGCAGAUAUCAGGAGGAACACCGGUGGCGAAGGCGGGACUCUGGGCUGUAACUGACACUGAGGAGCGAAAGCAUGGGGAGCGAACAGGAUUAGAUACCCUGGUAGUCCAUGCCGUAAACGUUGGGCACUAGGUGUGGGGGACAUUCCACG